GGUGGGGUCGCAUAGUCUGGCCUAGUGCGGCGGUCUUGAAAACCGCUAAGGGAGCAAUCUCUUCGUGAGUUCAAAUCUCACCCCCACCG
rnacentral:tRNA from 1 species